GACGAACGCUGGCGGCGUGCUUAACACAUGCAAGUCGAACGGAAAGACCCGGCUUUUGUGGGGUUCUCGAUUGGCGAGCGGGGGAGUGACACGUGAGUAUCCUGCCCUUGACUUUGUGGUAACUUCAGGAAACUGGGGCGAAUAUCGGGUAUGAUCUCCUGCUGCAUGGUGUGGGUUGGAAAGUUUCGGCGUUGGGGUCUGGACUCGAUGGUUCUCAGCUUGUUUGUGGGGUAGGUGCGUACCAAGGCUUUGACGGUUAGCCUGCCUUAGAGGGUGACCGGGCACCGUGGGACUGCGAUACGGACCAGAAUGCUACGGGCGGCAGUAGUGGGGAAUAUUGCACAAUGGGCGGAAGCCUGAUGCAGCAAUCCCGCGUGCGGGAUGAUGGCUUUCGGGUUGUAAACCGCUUUCGACUGUGACGAAGCGUGAGUGACGGUAAUGAGUAAAGAAGCCCCGGCUAACUACGUG
rnacentral:rRNA from 1 species